ACAAGCGGUGGAGCAUGUGGUUCAAUUCGACGCAACGCGAAGAACCUUACCUGGGCUUGACAUCCGCUGACAGCUACGGAAACGUAGUCUUCCCCGCAAGGGACAGCGAGACAGGUGCUGCAUGGCUGUCGUCAGCUCGUGUCGUGAGAUGUUCGGUUAAGUCCGCUAACGAGCGCAACCCUCGUCGUAUGUUAUAUGUGUCAUACGAGACUGCCGGUAAAAAGCCGGAGGAAGGUGAGGAUGAUGUCAAGUCAGCAUGACCUUUAUAUCCAGGGCUACACACACGCUACAAUGGUCUGUACAAUGGGUAGCCAAGCCGCGAGGCGGAGCCAAUCCUGAAAGCAGGCCUCAGUUCAGAUUGCAGUCUGCAACUCGACUGCAUGAAGCCGGAGUUGCUAGUAACCGCAGGUCAGCAAUACUGCGGUGAAUACGUUCCCGGGUCUU
rnacentral:rRNA from 1 species